rnacentral:rRNA from 1 species
AGUGAACGCUGGCGGUAGGCCUAACACAUGCAAGUCGAACGGCAGCACAGUAAGAGCUUGCUCUUACGGGUGGCGAGUAGCGGACGGGUGAGGAAUACAUCGGAAUCUACUUUUUCGUGGGGGAUAACGUGGGGAAACUUACGCUAAUACCGCAUACGACCUACGGGUGAAAGCAGGGGAUCUUCGGACCUUGCGCGAUUGAAUGAGCCGAUGUCGGAUUAGCUAGUUGGCGGGGUAAAGGCCCACCAAGGCGACGAUCCGUAGCUGGUCUGAGAGGAUGGUCAGCCACACUGGAACUGAGACACGGUCCAGACUCCUACGGGAGGCAGCAGUGGGGAAUAUUGGACAAUGGGCGCAAGCCUGAUCCAGCCAUACCGCGUGGGUGAAGAAGGCCUUCGGGUUGUAAAGCCCUUUUGUUGGGAAAGAAAAGCAGCAGGUUAAUACCCCGCUGUUCUGACGGUACCCAAAGAAUAAGCACCGGCUAACUUCGUG